AGUGAACGCUGGCGGUAGGCCUAACACAUGCAAGUCGAACGGCAGCACAGGAGAGCUUGCUCUCUGGGUGGCGAGUGGCGGACGGGUGAGGAAUACAUCGGAAUCUACUCUGUCGUGGGGGAUAACGUAGGGAAACUUACGCUAAUACCGCAUACGACCUACGGGUGAAAGCAGGGGACCCUCGGGCCUUGCGCGAUUGAAUGAGCCGAUGUCGGAUUAGCUAGUUGGCGGGGUAAAGGCCCACCAAGGCGACGAUCCGUAGCUGGUCUGAGAGGAUGAUCAGCCACACUCGAACUGAGACACGGUCCAGACUCCUACGGGAGGCAGCAGUGGGGAAUAUUGGACAAUGGGCGCAAGCCUGAUCCAGCCAUACCGCGUGGGUGAAGAAGGCCUUCGGGUUGUAAAGCCCUUUUGUUGGGAAAGAAAUCCAGCUGGCUAAUACCCGGUUGGGAUGACGGUACCCAAAGAAUAAGCACCGGCUAACUUCGUGCCAGCAGCCGCCGUAA
rnacentral:rRNA from 1 species